rnacentral:rRNA from 1 species
ACGUAGGGUGCGAGCGUUAAUCGGAAUUACUGGGCGUAAAGCGUGCGCAGGCGGUUGUGCAAGACAGGCGUGAAAUCCCCGGGCUUAACCUGGGAACUGCGCUUGUGACUGCACGGCUAGAGUACGGCAGAGGGGGGUGGAAUUCCACGUGUAGCAGUGAAAUGCGUAGAGAUGUGGAGGAACACCGAUGGCGAAGGCAGCCCCCUGGGCCGAUACUGACGCUCAUGCACGAAAGCGUGGGGAGCAAACAGGAUUAGAUACCCUGGUAGUCCACGCCCUAAACGAUGUCAACUAGGUGUUGGGUGGGUAAAACCAUUUAGUACCGGAGCUAACGCGUGAAGUUGACCGCCUGGGGAGUACGGCCGCAAGGUUA